rnacentral:tRNA from 1 species
GGGCCCGUAGCUCAGUUGGUCAGAGCAGCGGACUCAUAAUCCGCGGGUCGUAGGUUCGAGUCCUACCGGGCCCA